GCUGGGUGUGGUGGUGGGCACCUGUAAUUCCAGCUACUUGGGAGGCUGAGGGAGGAGAAUCACUUGAACCCAGGAGUUGGAGGUUGCAGUGAGCAGAGAUCACGCCACUGCACCCCAACCUGGGUGACAGAGUGAGACUCUGUCUCAA
rnacentral:sRNA from 1 species